CACACGACCGUACCGCAAACCGACACUGGUGCGCGAGAUGAGUAUUCUAAGGCGCUUGAGAGAACUCAGGAGAAGGAACUCGGCAAAUUGACACCGUAACUUCGGAAGAAGGUGUGCCUUUAGUAGGUGAACCUGUACAAGGGGAGCCCAAUGAGGUUGCAAAAAAUCGGUGGCUGCGACUGUUUAAUAAAAACACAGCACUCUGCAAACACGAAAGUGGACGUAUAGGGUGUGACGCCUGCCCGGUGCUGGAAGAUUAAAUGAUGGGGUGCAAGCUCUUGAUUGAAGUCCCAGUAAACGGCGGCCGUAACAAUAACGGUCCUAAGGUAGCGAAAUUCCUUGUCGGGUAAGUUCCGACCUGCACGAAUGGCGUAACGAUGGCCACACUGUCUCCUCCUGAGACUCAGCGAAGUUGAAAUGUUUGUGAUGAUGCAAUCUCCCCGCGGAAAGACGGAAAGACCCCAUGAACCUUUACUGUAGCUUUGUAUUGGACUUUGAACAGAUCUGUGUAGGAUAGGUGGGAGGCUUUGAAGUGUGGUCGCUAGAUCGCAUGGAGCCAACGUUGAAAUACCACCCUGGUGUGUUUGAGGUUCUAACCUAGGCCCGUAAUCCGGGUCGGGGACAGUGCAUGGUAGGCAGUUUGACUGGGGCGGUCUCCUCCCAAAGCGUAACGGAGGAGUUCGAAGGUACGCUAGGUACGGUCGGACAUCGUGCUAAUAGUGCAAUGGCAUAAGCGUGCUUAACUGCGAGACUGACAAGUCGAGCAGAUGCGAAAGCAGGACAUAGUGAUCCGGUGGUUCUGUAUGGAAGGGCCAUCGCUCAACGGAUAAAAGGUACUCUGGGGAUAACAGGCUGAUACCGCCCAAGAGUUCAUAUCGACGGCGGUGUUUGGCACCUCGAUGUCGGCUCAUCUCAUCCUGGGGCUGUAGCCGGUCCCAAGGGUAUGGCUGUUCGCCAUUUAAAGAGGUACGUGAGCUGGGUUUAAAACGUCGUGAGACAGUUUGGUCCCUAUCUUCCGUGGGCGCUGCAGAUUUGAGGAAGCCUGCUCCUAGUACGAGAGGACCGGAGUGGACACACCUCUGGUGUAUCGGUUGUCACGCCAGUGGCAUUGCCGAGUAGCUAUGUGUGGAAGAGAUAACCGCUGAAAGCAUCUAAGCGGGAAACUCGUUUCAAGAUGAGAUCUGCCGGGGCCUUGAGCCCCCUAAAGAGUCGUUCAAGACCAGGACGUUGAUAGGUCGGGUGUGGAAGCGCAGUAAUGCGUUAAGCUAACCGAUACUAAUUGCUCGUGCGGCUUGACCAA
rnacentral:rRNA from 1 species